GGCUGAUCCAAAGGUAGUGGGUUACUUCAACUGAUUGUUCAGUCAGUUACAGAUUAAAUUCCUUGUUCUACUUUUUUCCCCAUUCCUCACUACUGCACUUGACUAGUCUUAA
ensembl:misc_RNA Y_RNA Y RNA